UACAGAGGGUGCAAGCGUUAAUCGGAAUUACUGGGCGUAAAGGGUGCGUAGGUGGUUGUUUAAGUUAGGUGUGAAAGUCCUGGGCUUAACCUGGGGACUGCGCCUAAUACUGGGUGGCUAGAGUACUGUAGAGGAAGGUAGAAUUUCCAGUGUAGCGGUGAAAUGCGUAGAUAUUGGAAGGAAUACCGGUGGCGAAGGCGACCUUCUGGACAGAUACUGACACUGAGGCACGAAAGCGUGGGGAGCAAACAGG
rnacentral:rRNA from 1 species